CGGAACUCUUCAUUGAGGUAGGACGAAGAUGGAGGACGGUGGAACGGGACGAAGGAGGGGAAUUGGUAAUCGACGAAAAAGAAACACUGGGAAAUAUCGAUACGCUUUACGGAAUUGGAUAGACCUCGCGAAUCGAGCGAGGUGAAUUACCAAAAUGCCAGGACAUUUUACGAGACUAAUUGACUCGAGACCGAACAAAGGAUCAAAAACGGGUUUUGCUCGCAUUAUUCGAGACGUCUGAACGUUACGAGGAGAACAUUAUGUGGCGCUCGGUCUCCGUUGGCCCGUGGAAAGGUCAACGUACCAGAAGAAUUAUUUUAGUGUGGGCGCUCGCUCGUGAGCGUGACACGACGACAUUCCACGUAUGGGGUUAAAGUGUUAUCUCGGAGAAGCUCGUCCGUCAGCGCUCGAUACGAGAUGCCUGGAGAAAAAGGAGAAAAGAAAAAAGAGAAAAGAAAAAAAAGAAGAAGAAGAGAGAAAAAAAAAAAGAGAAAUUUUUUUCCCAACUUAUUUAUUAUAUAUAGAUGCGUAUGUUUUUAAGGCCAAUAGAAAGAGCCAAUGCCAAAUGGUUCGACUCCGCGUAUCGAUUAUAUCAAUAGGAAUAUCGAUAAUCCUUUAAACGUCAUAGUUGUACGAGUUACGGCCGUUCAAAAAGAAAAGAACAGAAAAGAAAAGAAAAAGAAAAAUGAAAGAAGAAAGAAGAAAAAAAAAAGAAAAAAAGAAAAGAAACGAAGUGUCGAGAUUACGUUAUCGACGAGUUAAUAAUAUGUCUAUCUCAUAAAUUUCCUACGUUUAUACGAGAAAACUAACAUUCCUUAAUUAGAACGUUUUAAAAUCCGCAGAUUUUUGAUCGGAGAUAUCGCAAUCGUAGAAGAGAAGCAAACGCAAUUUUAAACGCACUUACUUCCCUUAGGAUUUAUCCCGCGGAACGAGCCUCAUUGCUGGGUACUCAUGGGUCGCACUUGCAAACGAUAUUUUGCGUAUCGCAUCUAAAUUAGCGUCAUUAGUCUUGGAACGUUUGCCGGCGUACGCUUCGUUCCUUGGCUAUUAGAAUCUCUCAGCCCUUCCGCAAACUGGUUUUGGCCACGUAAUUGGACGAAGAAGACGACUCCGGUUGGUUGCUUUUCAAGAAGAAGCAGAAGCAGAAGUAGAAGCAGAAGCAGAAGCAGAAGAAGGAGAAGAAGCGUUAAAAGAGCGUCCGCCGUGGAUCCAAGCUCAAAUGAGAAAGUUCGGUGUCCCCGUGAAAUUUAUUUUCUCGACCCUUUUUCCCAGAGCCUACCAGAGACUGCUGGUAGUAGCAGGAGCAGUAACAGCAACAGCAGCAGCAGCAGCAACAGCAGCAGCAGCAUGUUCACCGACGUUACUAACGCCCGAUAAUUCUGCCGACUUAACGGCCUUGCGCUCUUUUCGUUCCCGAUAUUUCGCUCGUACCAUCAAACUAACCAAAGUAUAGUCCUCUACUAAACGAUUUUAAUGUACCGUUUGCUCUUGAAAAUGAACGAGCUACAUUACUUGACGAUCGAUCGAAUACCAUUUUCAAAGAAGAUCGAUGGGCCUGA